rnacentral:rRNA from 1 species
CGCGAAUAGCUCAUUACAACAGCCACUGUUUACUUGAUCUUGACUAUCCUACUUGGAUAACUGUGGUAAUUCUAGAGCUAAUACACGCAAUAAAGCUCCGACCUUACGGGACGAGCGCAUUUAUUAGACCAAAACCAAUCGGGCUUCGGCCUGAGCCGUUGGUGACUCUGAAUAACUAAGCUGAUCGCAUGGUCUUUGUACCGGCGACGCAUCUUUCAAGUGUCUGCCUUAUCAACUUUCGAUGGUAGUUUAUGUGCCUACCAUGGUUGUUACGGGUAACGGAGAAUAAGGGUUCGACUCCGGAGAGGGAGCCUGAGAAACGGCUACCACAUCCAAGGAAGGCAGCAGGCGCGCAAAUUACCCACUCUCGGCACGAGGAGGUAGUGACGAAAAAUAACGAGGCGGUUCUCUAUGAGGCCCGCUAUCGGAAUGGGUACAAUUUAAACCCUUUAACGAGGACCUAUGAGAGGGCAAGUCUGGUGCCAGCAGCCGCGGUAAUUCCAGCU